GACGAACGCUGGCGGCGUGCCUAACACAUGCAAGUCGAGCGAGAAUUCAUUAACAGAUUCCUUCGGGAAGAAGAUAAUGAAGGAAAGCGGCGGACGGGUGAGUAACGCGUGAGUAACCUGCCUUCAGGAGGGGGACAACAUCUCGAAAGGGGUGCUAAUACCGCAUAAUAUUAUUUUAUCGCAUGGUAAAAUAAUCAAAGAUUUAUCGCCUGAAGAUGGACUCGCGUCUGAUUAGCUAGUUGGUGAGGUAACGGCUCACCAAGGCGACGAUCAGUAGCCGAACUGAGAGGUUGAUCGGCCACAUUGGGACUGAGACACGGCCCAGACUCCUACGGGAGGCAGCAGUGGGGGAUAUUGCGCAAUGGGGGCAACCCUGACGCAGCAACGCCGCGUGAAUGAAGAAGGUUUUCGGAUCGUAAAGUUCUUUAAGUGUGGAAGAAGAUGACGGUACACACAGAAUAAGCCACGGCUAACUACGUGCCAGCAGCCG
rnacentral:rRNA from 1 species